rnacentral:rRNA from 1 species
UACGGAAGGGGCAAGCGUUGUCCGGAAUCAUUGGGCGUAAAGCGCGCGUAGGUGGCCUCGUAAGUCCGCUGUGAAAGUCAAAGGCUCAACCUUUGAAAGCCGGUGGAUACUGUGAGGCUAGAGUACGGAAGAGGCGAGUGGAAUUCCUGGUGUAGCGGUGGAAUGCGCAGAUAUCAGGAGGAACACCAAUAGCGAAGGCAGCUCGCUGGGACGUAACUGACACUGAGGCGCGAAAGCGUGGGGAGCGAACAGG